rnacentral:lncRNA from 1 species
UGACUAGUAUGGAUAACAAUAAUUAAAGAAUUCUAUUGUUGCUUUAAACAUAUGGUCGUCUUGCAUAUUGUGUGCUAAGAAAGUGGUACAAAACUUAACUAGUUUAUUCCCAUUAUUGAUGAAUGUUCAACCAUGUAAUUUUGAUUUUGAGACCUUUAAAGUUACCAAGCUAGUUAAGGUUUAAGAGAAUGGUAACCCUCUUGUUCUUAUAUUGUUAAUUUUUGAAGCAGAUCUUCACUCUCUCCUCUGCCUUCUUUUUUCUUAGUUCAAUCUUUGUCCUA